AUCCAGCUGACGAGUCCCAAAUAGGACGAAACGCGCGUCCUGGNN
rfam:Schistosoma curassoni strain Dakar, Senegal genome assembly, scaffold: SCTD_scaffold0009331